ACCAGCGAACGAGUCUCAAAUAGGACGAAAUGCGCAUCCUGGAU
rnacentral:hammerhead_ribozyme from 1 species